CAGAAGGAAGGAAGGAAGGAAGGAAGGAAGGAAGGAAGGAAGGAAGGAAGGAAGGAAGGAAGGAAGGGCGGAGGCCAGGAACCAUUGAGUAGAGGGCCUUCCUCCACCCAGCCCAGGACAUUCCCCAACACUUGCUGGCUUGCCAUGAUGCUCUGCUCUAGAUGAGCUUCCGUGGGCUGGAUCACCAGCCCUCCUCACACGAUGAAAUCUAAGAUUGGCUGCUGUCUUUGACUUAGCAGAUCCCCAUUUCUGUCAUCCUGAUUCCAUGCCUUUGGUCUUGUGUUCCAGACAGCAAUCAUGUGCAGGCUCUGCAAAGUUUUUGCUCAAAUUCCAAGCGCAGUGAUCUCACCCUACAGAAGCUCCUGUAGGUGCCUCUUGGCCAAGUUAGCCUCUUGGCCAAGUUAGCAGGGCUAGCUAUUUUACUUGGUAUGUUAAGAAGGUGCAAGAUACAGAAACACAAUAUUGAUGCAAAACAAAGAAUUCAUGGGACUGCAAAAUCAUUUUUUACUAUGAACAUUUUGCCUUUCCAUUAUCAAAAUGAUGUGGUCGCUAUGAGGCGACACUGACUUGACGGCACUUAAUCCAUCAAUCAAAUGCGUGCAACAAAGAAGCAGUUCUUUUCUGCCCGCAUUGCUUCUGCAAGUUCACAUUCAGCAGAGUUGUCUCGAGUUGUGAAAGGGCUAGUGCAUGGCCCUCCCCCCUUGAAUGAGUAUUUGGAUCCAUCAGCUACCCGUUGUGACAUUUCAAAUGAGAUCUUUGCAGAUGAAAACUCUCUUCAUCGAACUGAACUAGACUCUACAGGUACUGCAGAGCCUACUGUAGAGGUGUUCAGCAGUUCCUCUUGCACAGUGAAAUUGGAUCAUUUUCCAUUUGUGAGCGCAGAGCAUGUGGACAACCUGCUUGGGACACUUCACUUGAAUACUUGUUUUCUUGAUCCUUGCCCAACAUGACUUAUACAAUCUAGCAAGGAGGUUAUUGGAGAGGGUCUUGGAAGCAUCAUUAAUACUUUUUAAUGGCAGGAUGCCUCCUUGCCUCAGGAAGGCCAUGAUUAGACCACUGUUGAAGAAACCUGCAUUGGAUCCCAUUCUAGGCUUUUCUCCAACCUCCCAUGGUAGGGCAAGCGGAUUGAGAGAGGGUAGUGGCAUCUCGGCUCCAGGCAGUCUUGGAAGAAGCAGAUGAUCUGGGCCCAUUUCAAAAUGGCUUUCAGGUGGGCUGUGGGGUUGUGAAGGCCUUGAUUGGCCUGUUGGGUGAUCUCCAAUUGGGAAUCGACAAGUUGAGUAUGACCCUGUGGAACCUUUUGGAUCUCUCUCAGAUCCUUUUGAUAUCAGUGAAUCAUGGCACCUCCUGGAGCGCCUGAAGCGGUAGGGAGUGAGAGGCACCGCUUUGCAGUGGCUCCACUCCUACUUCUCAUGUAGGUCCCAGAUGCUGUUGCUUGGAGAUUGUUGCUCUUCCAAAGGAGAGCUAUUGUAUGGGAUUGCACAGGGCUCCCUUCUAUCCCCAAUGCUUUUUAAUAUCUACAUGGAUCGGUGCGGGGAAAUCGUCAGGGAUUUGGUGCAGGCUGUUACCCAUAUGCUGACACCCAAACCUCUUUCUCCAUUUCAACUUCAUUAGGAAAUGGCCCAACUUCCCGAGAGACUUACCUGGAGUCCGUGAUGAGCCGGAUGAGGGAGAACAAACUGAGGCUGAAUCCAAGGAAGACAGAGCAUCUUUCACCAACUACAAAUGAAAAGAUUCCUAAGUCAAUGCAAACACUACACUGUGCUGCCAACAGAGUGUAGCCCGUCAAGCUCGUCACUCCCACCCCAAUAUCUCAACUGCCUAAAAUCACAAAAAAUCUCAGUCAUCAGCUCUGAUUCUAAAAAAGGUGAUUUUGGUAUUUGCAGACCCUAAGCUUGCACAGUGACUUCCGGGCCAAAGCAGGGAACAUGACGCUCCCAACAUAGACUCGCGAGACCGCUCCAUUCCCAACAAGAGAGACACCAGAGAAGUCACACCAAGAUCACCCUCCAAUCCUGAACAUGACUCCAACCCAGCUCAAAUGGAGGAUUAUACCAUCAACCCUAGCUGGUCUUCUCAACACCGACUGCCUCCGGACUGAAAAGCAUCCCCUGCAUGAUACUGACUAUAUAGAAGAGACCCUAUGUGAUACCAACGCUCUCCGGAUCACAGGGAAUCCCUUCACCAUCUCUACUCUCCUAAACGCUAUUCCAUAGGAUCCAGUGCAUUGCUACUGAGAACGUCGACAUUGAGACUACUCUCCAUCUGAUCAUGCCUGAUCAUUCCACUUACAUCUUCGAUGACAGAUCUGUCAUUGAUGAUAGAGAACGCUAUCUCCACCCUUGCUCUUGGGCUCCACAUCGAAACCAAUAUCCGGGGAGAUUGGACUAUCCAGACUCUCGGACCCAAUCACACUCUCCUCAGCACUGCAGGUCUUGGUCUCAGUCAAGAGAUAAGAGAACUCAACCACCUAAGCAGCUGGACUUUGACCUCCUACCACUGGAUUCCUCGACUGAAGAAUCCGCCUCAGAUGCAGAAACAACCCUGGACAUCGCAUCGGGUUCCACACCUUCAAAUCUAAUCAAAGAUCCAAAGCCUCUGCCUCCCUCGGAGUACCUGAAGCUCUUCACUGACCAAGUGGCCUAUAUGGCUACCUCUUUAGGUAUCCAGGUUAACAAACCUCCUAAAUCUCCUCCUGAUCCCAUUUUUGGGCCAACUGAUGCUGGAACUUUGCACUCUUUCUUCCUACCACUGAACUCUGCUUGAAUGGACAUUGUCAACACUUGCUGGGCAUUUUUGCCACCUGCCUCUCAGAAGCUGGAAGGUUUUUUACAAGGUUCAAGCCAGGGACAAUCAGUUCCUUCUGUGCCAUCCUACUCCUCACUCCAUUAUAAUGGAAUCUGCUCAGUCCUGUUCAAAGAACAGAAUCCAUUCAGCAGCAUCUGACACAGAAGGCAGAAAAGCAGAUGCCCUUGGGCCUGUCCCCUUUCCAAACAGCUCCUCCAUAUACGUCUCGCCAUGCCACUGACUGUUCAUUCAAUGUUCGCUGCAGCAACUCCGCACUGGCACACGUGGAUGUGUUCAUCUACAUUGGCACCUGGAACAAGAAGAAGAGGAGAGAAUUUGACCUUUUGAUGGCCAGGCUCUUGUUGGAAAGGAGACAAAAUGGAAAGGAGACAAAAACUGAAAAAUAUGGCAAGACCUAUGACCUCCCAACGACCUGCCUACAAUUCCUCAAGGGGCAACAAAUCCUCUCCUUCUUCUUUUGCUAUAUCAUUUUGUCCUUCCAGCUACUCUCAAUCAACUAACCGUUCCUUUCGUCCUUCUAGGACCUCCCUAUUUCAGAAAAGACAGGACUCCUUCGUAAAAUCACAACCUUCCAAAUCUCAUCCACCAGUGCAUAGCAAGUGCUCGGGACUCAAGCAGCUGCAAAUAUUAUUCUUUGAAGCACUCCACACACAAAUCGGGCAUUGCCUCUAGCUUAUCUCCAUGUAUUUCUGGGUUUUUAAAAUGCUGCUUUUAAUGAGAUUUUCUGAAAACACCAGAGCAAAUAGGGAGAGGAAUUGACGUAGAAUCAUUCUCAUGAUAAGAGGGAAAUAAUCUUUUAGGAAUGCAGAUAGAGGCUUUAGAAAUCUCUCUCCCCACCCCGCCAUUGGCUAGAAGGAAAAUACGGAGGCACGCGAUGUGAACUUGCACCAAAAGAAAACCUGAGAGCAGAGGGGAGGGGCUGCUUCCCUCCUUGUCGCGAGUGUGAUUCGAAGUGUCUUCACUCAACAUUGACCCUGAAGCAUGAAGCCAGGUAUCACCUCAUCCAGUGGAGGAGUUCCAUUUCGACCACAGCCAAUGAGUGUGAGCAGAUUUGCAUGGUGGACCAUUCCUCAGUUCCUGGGGGAUGUAAGAAAGAAGGAAGAUUCCAGACAGAUCUACACACCUGCCUCACCUUUCACCACCAUGCCCUGGUCCCUGUUUCUCCUCACGUUUCUCAGUUAUGCCUCAGGUGUCCAUUCCCAGGCAAGUGUGAAACAGCCUGCCUCCCAGUCUGCGUCCCUGGACCAAACAGCAAAACGAAAAGCAUGAAAAGCACGAAAAACUGUACGAAAAGCAGUGGUGGUCGCUGAGUCAGCUUUUACUGAUGUCAACAGACAUCUGGACAGGCCCCUCGCUUUGUGCACUGUAGUGGUUGCAGCAGAGGAGAAGAGAUCCCAGCUCGGUUCACUGGUUCUGCCUCUGGAGACAACGGCUAUUUAACCACCACCAAUAUCCAGGCUGAAGAUGAGGCUGAUUAUUACUGUGCUAUCUGGUAUAGCACAGUGGUAGAGCAGAAUGGGGAACUGAGAGAAAAACCUUCCCCUGUCUUCCCCUGAGCGGAGAAGAGAAUCAGAGCUUCCCUUGCAGUUUUCCCAGAGGUGUACCGAGGUGAUUUUGGAGCCUGGAACUGAAGGCCUUUGGAGCUCCCCCCCCCUGCAAGUUAAGCACCAUCCCUUACACACACACACACACACACACCAUGACACAUGCAGUAUCAUCUACACAUGGGUUCUUUAGAAUGGAAACAGAAAUUGAACUCACAAGAAUGUAUGACUAAAAAACAAUUAUAUUUAUGCAAAUAUGCAUUAGCAGGAACAUUUCAGCACGCGGAGUAACAUAUUUCCAUCAUACAUAUUUCUUUCCCCACUCCCCCCAUUGUCUUUAAAGCAGAAGUCAACUCCGGUGCAGGCAACAGUCAUGCUCGGUCGCCUGAAAAACAAUGGGCCAGGAUAGACUAAAAAGGAUGUUGGGGCCCCCAGGAUGUGUGGAGGCCUUAGAGUUUACCCAGAAAUCCAGGGGUAAGAGUGCCUCUGAAUGUUCCCUCAGAUCUUUUUCAUCAGUGUGCGGAAUGAGUUUUCUUCCGAGUGGAAGAAUCAAGGCAGUGUGCGCCUGAUCAGCACACAAAAGUGGAAUCCUUGUCCCCAGCCCAAGAAGACACGUAGACUUAGUAUGGGUAAAAGGGCCACAACUUUAUUAACUGUAACAAAAGACAUGGCGGACUGGAACACCAGGUGAUUAAUCACCCUUAGAGAACAGUGCGGGCCAAUAGGACCGGGUUAGAACUCUGACGUCCUACCCAGCACCUUACUGGGCGACACACCCUGGCUCGGGAAACGGGCAGAUACGCCCCGCCCAAUUCCUUCAAGCCAACCCCCCCUUUCGUAAGAGAGGAUCUGGAUACUUCAAGGUCUUCGCCCACCCCGGACCGCUCAGCCCAAAGGUUGGUGAAGUCCUGAAGCAGGUUUCAUGGCAAUCCAUUCUCCCCGUACCACACAGGCCACAAAGGAGCGAUUGACCAAUCACCCUUUUAAAUAUCCAAGGGUGCUCACCAAUGUUCUAACCCUCGAAUUACCACCCCGCCCACACUGUUACUGCUAUUGUGAACGGCCUAACUCUAAUUACACACCUGGAACACAGAACGGAGUAGGCGGAAAAAACCCCAACAGUGGCCAAUGCGUUGGGAGCAAAAAAUUCCUACUCAGCCCCGUUGGGCGACCAGUCGCUAGA